UUGAACACUAGCAUCGCUUUAGCUAACAAGUAGGCUACAUAAUAAGUCGUUUGUAAAAAUAAAUAACAGUUUAGUAACAGGGUCAGCGGUUGGGUGCACUCAAAUAAAUAUCAUGGGAGAUUGCUUCAGUUGCUGUUGUGGUGAUAGCGGUGGAGGCGGAGUGACUGUAGUAGACCAGGCUUAUAAUAACGAUGGAGGUUUCCAGCCACCACCACCAGAUGGCGGUCAAGUAACUGAUCACUCCAUGGAUAUGAUGAGAUGACAUGACUGAACAGAAUGAUCCGAGCCACACAAGCCAUGAAACUAACUAGCCACGAUGCUGCGUAUUCAUCAUUUAAUUUAUUUUUAAUUAAAUUUAUUUUUUAAUUAUUA